UAUUUUUACUCACAGUACCAACUUUGGGAAACUUGUAAAUCUGCUAAUCUGAAGUGGCUUAUAUUCGUUUUUCUAUUUUUCCAUGUUUAAUGCAAUAAUUAAUAAUAAUAAAUUAAUUAAUAUUUCUGUUUGCACUCUCACUGCAGGGAUGGACUCUGGAGUGCAGCAUUACUUCAAUAAGAUGAAAAUAACACACUCCUCUAUGAUUCACGAUGUCAAGCCCCCUGAACGCAAAGAGAGUCAGCAUCAAAAUGGAUGUGCCCCUGAUUGAAAACACAGAGAUGUCAAAACUAUCUGUUGGCUGUCUACUUUUUGUUCAAUAUGGAGCAUCCAAAAGCCAGUUUCUUUCAUUCAGCACUUUUUAGCCCUUCUCAGUACUGAAUUUACCAUGGGUCAUUUGUUUUUAUUGUUUAAAUGCUUAUCUGAAUGUUAAAUUAUCAUUUAACGCUUAUGAAUUUAAAAACAAUUCUACUAGCUAGUCUUUUAGUUCAUUUUUUUAAGAAACAUUUAUUUUUGUUAACUCUUCUAACUAUUGCUCUAUGAAUUGCAGUGUGUUUUAUAUUGCUUGUGUCAUUGUAAAUGCUAAUAAAAAUGUCUUAAAUGAUUACA